rnacentral:rRNA from 1 species
CCUACGGGUGGCAGCAGUGGGGAAUAUUGGACAAUGGGGGCAACCCUGAUCCAGCCAUGCCGCGUGUGUGAAGAAGGCCCUCGGGUUGUAAAGCACUUUCAGUGAGGAAGAACGCCUGGUGGUUAAUACCCAUCAGGAAAGACAUCACUCACAGAAGAAGUACCGGCUAACUCCGUGCCAGCAGCCGCGGUAAUACGGAGGGUGCGAGCGUUAAUCGGAAUUACUGGGCGUAAAGCGCGCGUAGGUGGCUUGAUAAGCCGGUUGUGAAAGCCCCGGGCUCAACCUGGGAACGGCAUCCGGAACUGUCAAGCUAGAGUGCAGGAGAGGAAGGUAGAAUUCCCGGUGUAGCGGUGAAAUGCGUAGAGAUCGGGAGGAAUACCAGUGGCGAAGGCGGCCUUCUGGACUGACACUGACACUGAGGUGCGAAAGCGUGGGUAGCAAACAGGAUUAGAUACCCUAGUAGUC